UUAUGGCUCAGGAUGAACGCUAGCUACAGGCUUAAACACAUGCAAGUCGAGGGGCAGCAUGAUCUAGCUUGCUAGAAUGAUGGCGACCGGCGCACGGGUGAGUAACGCGUAUCCAACCUUCCCUAUAGUAGAGGAUAGCCCGGCGAAAGUCGGAUUAAUACUCUAUGUUUUCCAAUGAGGACAUCUGAGCUGGAAUAAAGGUUUACCGCUAUAGGAUGGGGAUGCGUCUGAUUAGAUGGUAGGCGGGGUAACGGCCCACCUAGUCGACGAUCAGUAGGGGUUCUGAGAGGAAGGUCCCCCACAUUGGAACUGAGACACGGUCCAAACUCCUACGGGAGGCAGCAGUGAGGAAUAUUGGUCAAUGGGCGAGAGCCUGAACCAGACCCAAGUAGCGUGCAGGAUGACGGCCCUAUGGGUUGUAAACUGCUUUUAGUACGGGGAUAAAGUGAGGGACGUGUCCCUUUUUGUAGGUACCGUAUGAAUAAGGACCGGCUAAUUCCGUGCCAGCCGCCGC
rnacentral:rRNA from 1 species